AGUGAACGCUGGCGGUAGGCCUAACACAUGCAAGUCGAACGGCAGCACAGAGGAGCUUGCUCCUUGGGUGGCGAGUGGCGGACGGGUGGGGAAUACAUCGGAAUCUACUCUGUCGUGGGGGAUAACGUAGGGAAACUUCCGCUAAUACCGAAUACGACCUACGGGUGAAAGGCGGGGCUCUUCGUACCUUGCGCGAUUGCAUGAGUCGAUGUCGGAUGAGCUAGUUGGCGGGGUAAAGGCACACCAAGGCGCCGAUCCGUAGCUGGUCUGAGAGGUUGAGCAGCCACACUGGAACUGAGACACGGUCCAGACUCCUACGGGAGGCAGCAGUGGGGAAUAUUGGACAAUGGACGCAAGCCUGAUCCAGCCAUACCGCGUGGGUGAAGAAGGCCUUCGGGUUGUAAAGCCCUUUUGUUGGGAAAGAAAUCCAUCUGGUUAAUACCCGGGUGUGAUGACGGUACCCAAAGAAUAAGCACCGGCUAACUUCGUGCCAGCAGCCGCAGUAA
rnacentral:rRNA from 1 species